rnacentral:rRNA from 1 species
UCUGGUAUCGAUGCGCUUGUGGGAAACACCCGUUCCCAUCCCGAACACGACGGUUAAGACGCAAGCGGCCGAUGGUACUGCACUGGAGACGGUGUGGGAGAGCAGGUGGCCGCCAGA